ACGGUCUCAUUUUUUUAAUCGCCUUUUCUCUUAUAUCCGCCCAACAAUUGGGAAACCGUUUGACGUCUGAGGCAGCAGCUGCAGCAGCCCGUCGCACACACAAAACUUUCCGAGUCCAGUUUUUUAUUUUAUUUUUUUUUCUGCGUGUUUGUCUUUUGAACGCACACGAAUGAUAUCAAGCCAAUGUCACAUAGUUCCAUAACGAGGUGAUUUCUUACAAGAAUGACAUUGAAAUUUAAACAAAACAAAGAAGAGAAACUACCAAAUAUUCAAUUGCAAAGUUGAGGCUAAAUUCAAAAGGCAUUUACGUGUUCACCUUCCCAUUCAAGUUCUCACAUCGCCUGGUCUCCAUCGGCCAUGAUCCGUUGCUUUGCUUGCACAAAAGUCGAAGUCAUUUUUAACUAAAGUUGAUUAAUCAGUCGUCGUUGUUUCUAACAAUGGCAUAAGAUUAACCAGCUCUUUUUUUUUAAACUAAAGUUGAUUAAUCAGUCGUCAUUGUUUCUAAAAAUGGCAUAAGAUUAACCAGCUCAUUUAAAAAAAACUAAAGUUGAUUAAUCAGUCGUCGUUGUUUCUAACAAUGGCAUAAGAUUAACCAGCACAUUUUUUAAAAAACUAAAGUUGAUUAAUCAGUCGCCGUGGUUUCUACCAAUGGCAUAAGAUUAACCUAACAACACAACAAGCAGCUCUAUAGAAGAAAAUAAUAAAGAACGAAGAAGAGAGAAUGAUAAAGUGGUGUGUGUAUGGUGAAGAUUUUUCAAGCGCGGUCAAUUCGGUGUGUUUUUUUUAUACGGCCACAGCAUUUUUUAUUGCACCUCAUUCAUUCUACUAUGCACAGUGUGUUGUAUAUACACAAGCUUGGUGGCUUUCUGUCACCCUAGCAACGGUAGGCAGAGUAAAGGUUGACGGAAACUGAAAGAAAACAAAAAGAAGGAGACAUAGUGGGUUUCUCGUUUCCCUUUUUUUACCAUUAACUUUUGAGUCUGAAAGAGCCAACAUCGAGUGUAACCAACAUCGCAUUUUUCACGUAAUUGUUAACAGUGGCCAUUGUUACCUAUGCCCUGUCGAUGGCCAACACUCCGACCAAAGAAACUACGUUUUAUCUGCUACAUGGCAUGAGACGUGAAAAUGGUUAAAUAAAAUUUUCAAUUGCCCAUUUGAAACUUCUUUCAUACAAUUAGAAUCGUACGUGACUUGGUUUACUGGUCGAAGGAUCCUGUUCCAUCCAAUCAAAUUGUUUAUGAAAAUCAGGGGCCUUUCCUCCAGCCUCGUUUGCCCAUGCACCAAGACGCCGUGGCUGUUGAGGCCACAUCCUACUCUCUGCUCGUCUAUUUGGCACGUAAUGGCAUCGGUGAUCUCCAGGAGAGGGUCGUCACUUGGCUCAACACGAUGCGGAUGGUGGAUGGUGGUUUCGUCUCCAUCUACGACAGCAUCGUGGUUACGGACGACAGCAUCUUGACUAGCAAAGUGUUUAUGCGUGAAGCAGUCGAACAGCAAAUUGAACGUAACCGAUUGGAUCAAAUGCGCGAGGCAGCCAUCAAUAUCCAGAGGGCCGUAUGGACCCAUCAGUUGAGGAAGGACUUUCCCAUUCAACGACGAAGUGCGGUGUUGAUCCAGGUGUGGGUCCGUCGUUAUCAGGCUCGCAAAAGAUUCAACACCAUCCGACGUGGUGUGAUCCUCGCCCAGGCUCAAUUCCGAGCCACUCGUCAAAGACGAUUGUACAAGGAACUUAGACAAUAGUUGCAACGUAGAGAAGCAGAACGAAUAUGUUAUUAUGUUAUUCGUUCCCAGAGAAUGUUAUCAUUAAUGAGUUGUUUGCUUUGGUAGAUGAUGAAAAUUUACGCACUCACGAGUGUUAUGGCACUUGGCGAAUGGGUCAAGAAACAACCUCAUUUACAAGCAAAAUCCCUAGAUGCCAAGUUUCUGUUGAGAUGUUUACGCGGAUGCAAAUACAGCAUGGAGAAGACAAAGAAGAAGCUGGACCUGACGUUAACUUUACGCAUUGCCCUGCCGGAAUUUUUCAGGGAUGGCAUCCGAUGUCUCCUGAAAAUCAAGAGGCUCAAAAUAAGUUUGGGGGGAACCCUUCUUCUGCCCGGGUAUGAUCGCCAAAGCCGUAACGUGGUGAUAAUCCGACCCGAUUGAGAAGAUUCAACGGGCCAGUUUUAUGAUUUAGGAUAUAGUGAGUGAUGAAGACGAGCAGAUGUUUGUUUGUCAGAUUUCUCCGAUUACGCCAUGAAUCACUUUACGGCCAUGCCGUUCGCCAUGAUGAAGAAGCUGAUGCUUUGUUGAAAGAUGCUUCGCCAAUCCGUCCGAAGAAUGGAAUGAACUACAUCCACACGCCUUCCCUCUUUAAUUUGAUCAACAAUCUUGGUUGUAACGGUUGUGAACCGCAAUAGUCGCCCACUGUAAUAAAAAUCUCGGAUAAUAAUCAGAACAUACUGUUCCUCAUCAUGUGUGGGUCGGAAAUCUUAAAGCUGAAAAUUUUUUGGUUUGUUCACCAUAAGAAGAUCACUGCCAUUCGCUUUCUACUGAAAUCCGAAGGGAAAAUCAAUGGAGGUGCU